UAUGGUAAUUGCCAGCCGCCGCGGUAAAACGUAGGUCACAAGCGUUGUCCGGAAUUACUGGGUGUAAAGGGAGCGCAGGCGGGAAGACAAGUUGGAAGUGAAAUCCAUGGGCUCAACCCAUGAACUGCUUUCAAAACUGUUUUUCUUGAGUAGUGCAGAGGUAGGCGGAAUUCCCGGUGUAGCGGUGGAAUGCGUAGAUAUCGGGAGGAACACCAGUGGCGAAGGCGGCCUACUGGGCACCAACUGACGCUGAGGCUCGAAAGUGUGGGUAGCAAACAGG
rnacentral:rRNA from 1 species